GCAGUCGAGCGAAGUUUUUACUUUAGAUCCCUUCGGGGUGACGAAGUAAUUAUCUUAGCGGCGGACGGGUGAGUAACGCGUGAGAAACCUGCCUUUCACAAAGGGAUAGCCUCGGGAAACUGGGAUUAAUACCUUAUGAUACUUAUUUUACACAUGUAAAAUAAGUCAAAGCGCUUUAGCGGUGAAAAAUGGUCUCGCGUCCCAUUACCUAGUUGGUGAAAUAAAAGCUCACCAAGGCAAUGAUGGGUACCCGGCCUGAAAGGGUGAACGGCCACACUGGAACUGAAACACGGUCCAAACUCCUACGGGAGGCAGCAGGGGGGAAUAUUGCACAAUGGAGGAAACUCUGAUGCAGCGACGCCGCGUGAACAAUGAAGGCUUUCGGGUCGUAAAGUUCUGUCCUUGGGGAAAAUAAUGACGGUACCCAAGGAGGAAGCCCCGGCUAACUACGUGCCACCAGCCGCGGUAAUACGUAGGGGGCGAGCGUUGUCCGGAUUUAUUGGGCGUAAAGGGUUCGCAGGCGGCCUUUUAAGUCAGGUGUGAAAAAUCACAGCUCAACUGUGGUAAGCACUUGAAACUGAAAGGCUUGAGUUAAGGAAAGGAAAGUGGAAUUCCUAGUGUAGCGGUGAAAUGCGUAAAUAUUAGGAGGAAUACCAGUGGCGAAGGCGACUUUCUGGACUUAUACUGACGCUGAGGAACGAAAGCGUGGGGAGCAAACAGGAUUAGAUACCCCUGGUAGUCCCACGCCGUAAACGAUGAGUGCUAGGUGUCGGGUGUCAAAGCUCGGUUGCCGCAGCUAACGCAUUAGCACUCCGGCCUGGGGAAGUACGUAACGCAAGUAUGAAAACUUCAAAGGAAUUGGAACCUG
rnacentral:rRNA from 1 species